AGGACGAACGCUGGCGGCGUGCUUAACACAUGCAAGUCGAGCGGUAAGGCCUUUCGGGGUACACGAGCGGCGAACGGGUGAGUAACACGUGGGUGAUCUGCCCUGCACUUCGGGAUAAGCCUGGGAAACUGGGUCUAAUACCGGAUAUGACCUCCUAUCGCAUGGUGGGUGGUGGAAAGAUUUAUCGGUGCAGGAUGGGCCCGCGGCCUAUCAGCUUGUUGGUGGGGUAAUGGCCUACCAAGGCGACGACGGGUAGCCGACCUGGGAGGGUGACCGGCCACACUGGGACUGAGACACGGCCCAGACUCCUACGGGAGGCAGCAGUGGGGAAUAUUGCACAAUGGGCGAAAGCCUGAUGCAGCGACGCCGCGUGAGGGAUGAAGGCCUUGGGUUGUAAAACCUCUUUCAGCAGGGACGAAGCGCGAGUGACGGUACCUGCAGAAGAAGCACCGGCUAAACUACGUGCCAGCAGCCGC
rnacentral:rRNA from 1 species